GUGUCAGCAGCCGCGGUAAGACAGAGGGUGCGAACGUUGUUCGGAAUUACUGGGCGUAAAGCGCGUGUAGGCGGCAGCGCAAGUCGGGCGUGAAAUCCCACGGCUCAACCGUGGAAGUGCACUCGAAACUGCGCAGCUAGAGUCCUGGAGAGGAAGGUGGAAUGCUUGGUGUAGAGGUGAAAUUCGUAGAUAUCAAGCGGAACACCGGUGGCGAAGGCGGCCUUCUGGACAGUGACUGACGCUGAGACGCGAAAGCGUGGGGAGCAAACAGGAUUAGAAACCCGUGUAGUCC
rnacentral:rRNA from 1 species